CCAGAGACGCAAACGUUAAUCAUCAUAAACAGGCGUAAAGGGUUUGUAGGCUGCUUUGAAAAUCUUAAUUUAAAAUAGCCAAAGUAAAUUAAGACCAAUUAAAGCUAGAAUCAAAUAGAGGUUAUAUUAAAUAAUACUUAGAGGAGAGAUUAAAUCCAUAGAUCCUAAGGAGAAUACUAAGGGCGAAAGCAUUUUACCACUAAUGAUUGACGCUGAGAAACGAAGGUGAGGAUAGGAAAUAGGAUUAGAUACCCCGGUACCCCUCUCUGUCAACGAUGAAUGGUAGUUCCUAGUUAAAAUAACUAGAGGCGAUGUUAACACGUUAACCAUUCCGCCUUGUGAGUACGAUUGCAAAAUUGAAAACAAAAAAAUUAGUCGGUCUCGGAGCAAACGAAGUGAAG
rnacentral:rRNA from 1 species